GUAGGUGAACCUGCGGAAGGAUCAUUAAUGAAUUAUAAGUCGGUCGUCUGUGCUGGUGGCAACACAUGUGCACGUCGAUCGCAAAUCCACACACCUGUGCACUUUUGACUUUGGGAUCCGCUCGUUGGCUUGUCUGACUUGCAGCUGGUUUGGUCUUGCACCUGGCCUGGGUCUCAGAGUAAUUUUUACACACUCUGAAUGUAAUGGAAUGUCUUGUGCAUAAUGCAUAUAAAAACAACUUUCAACAACG
rnacentral:misc_RNA from 1 species